rnacentral:lncRNA from 10 species
GCAGCCAUUUAAGCAAAGAGAAAAUUCAAGCUGGUUCUGCACUUAAAUUUCGGAAUAUUCUCUGCUUCCUUCUCCCACCUCCAUCUGCAUGUGAAGAAUAGUACCCACAGAUAACCCAACAGUCAUCCAACUAGAGGGCAAGAUCAUCCAAUUCCUUGCUACUCAAAGUGUGAUCUUGGACCAGCGGUAUCAGCAUCAUCUGGAAGUUCGUGGAAAAUGCAGUUUCAUGCCAUACCCCGUGCCUGCUGAAUCAGAAUCUGCAUUUUAACAAGAUCCCCAGCCAUGGAACGAGGACUGGAGCCCCCAGCUCAGACCUGGACACUCACCACGAUCCACCCACAGGUUUGCAGAGUACAGCGAGGCAACAAAGACCCUGCACUCCAUGGAUCAGCUGACACCACCCAGACCCGUAAUCUGGCUCAACCAUUUCUGCCAUCCCACCCAGGAACAGAAGACAGCAAGAAAACCUCACUUCGACCCCCUGUUAUUCCAUCUCUCACCCCACCAAUCAGCACUCCCCACUUCCCAAGACCCUACCCGCCAAAUAUCUUUACAAACUCCGAUCCUGGAAUGCUCGGGGAGACUGAUUUGAGUAAUAAUAAAACUCUGGUCUCCUGCACAGCCGGCUCUGUAUGAAUUACUCUUUCUCCAUUGCAAUUCCCCCAUCUUGAUAAAUUGGCUCUGUCUAGGCAGUGGGCAAGGUGAAGGAACCUGCUGGGCAGUUAUAAGAGUAGCACAUCCCUGAUCCAGUCUUGUCAGAUCACUUUUUUUCAAGAGUGAAAAUGCGCUUGAACUAGUGAUUAGUAAUUACAGACUAGUAAUCAAACAGUUCAAAUGAAUCAGAGUUGUCUUUCUACUAACAUUUAUGCUUUUGACAUUUUCCCCUCACCUAUAUGUUAUGCAUACUUGGAAACAGGCGUUUGGACAUGGUAAUUGGUCAUUGGAUACUACUCCUAUGUUUGUAAACAGGUGCAUAUGAGUGACUCUGUUCUCAGCUCUUUUGCUUUAGAAUUUAUACUGUCAGAUUUUUUUACUUAAGAGAGUUAUUACUAAAAUAAGUGAGGACCGGGCAUGGUGGCACACGCCUAUAAUCCCAGCACUUUGGGAGGCCAAGGCAGGUAGAUCACUUGAGCCCAGGAGUUUAAGACCAGCCUGGGCAACAUGGCGUAAACCCCAUCUCUACAAAAAAACACAAAAAUUAGCCAGGCGCGGUGGUGUGGUGCCUGUAGUCCCAGCUACUUGGGAGGCGGGGGUUGCAGUGAGCCAAGUUUGUGCCACUGCACUCCAGCCUGGGCAAUAGAGCCAGACCUUGUCUUGAAAAUAAAAUAAAAUAAGUGAGGUAUAUCUGCUUUCCCACCUCUACAGACUCUACGGUUUGGUUACUUUAUAUUUGUAUUCUUUCUAAUACUAUCAGCAAUUUCAAAAACGUUAAAAUGGAAAUCUUUAUAAUGAAAGUCAGCAAUUCUCAAACAUUUUGGCCUCAGGAAUCAUUUACAGUCUUAAGAAUCAUGGAGGAUGGCAAACAGUUUGUGUUUAUGUGGAUUAUAUCAAUUGGUGCUCACUGUAUUAGAAAUUAAAACCAAGAAAAAAUUUUUAAAUAUUUAUUCUUUAAAAACCACAAUAAUUAACCUAAUGUGUGUCAAUAUAAAAGUGUGUUUUAUGAAAAUAACUAUUUUCUAGAUUAAAAAAUAAAUUUAUUGAGAAGAAUGGCAUUGUCUUACAUUUUGCUAUCUCUUCAGUGCCU